rnacentral:rRNA from 1 species
GACGAACGCUGGCGGCGUGCUUAACACAUGCAAGUCGAACGGAAAGGCCCUGCUUUUGUGGGGUGCUCGAGUGGCGAACGGGUGAGUAACACGUGAGUAACCUGCCCUUGACUUUGGGAUAACUUCAGGAAACUGGGGCUAAUACCGGAUAGGAGCUCCUGCUGCAUGGUGGGGGUUGGAAAGUUUCGGCGGUUGGGGAUGGACUCGCGGCUUAUCAGCUUGUUGGUGGGGUAGAGGCUUACCAAGGCGAUGACGGGUAGCUGGGCGGAGAGGGCGACCAGCGACAAUGGGAUGGAGACAGGGAACAGAGUACUACGGGAGGCAGCAGUGGGGAAUUUGGGACAACGGGCGAAAGCGGGAUCCAGCAAGGGCGAGUGUGUGAAGAAGGCCUUCGGGUUGUAAAGCGUGUUUGUCGGGAAAGAAAUCCUUGGCCCUAAUACGGUGGGGGGAUGACGGUACCGGAAGAAUAAGCACCGGCUAACUACGUG